rnacentral:rRNA from 1 species
UACGUAGGGAGCAAGCGUUGUCCGGAAUCAUUGGGCGUAAAGCGCACGUAGGCGGAUGUGUCAGUCAGGGGUGAAAUCCCGGAGCUCAACUUCGGAACUGCCCUUGAUACAGCACAUCUGGAGUCCGGAAGAGGUGGGUGGAAUUCCUAGUGUAGAGGUGAAAUUCGUAGAUAUUAGGAAGAACACCGGUGGCGAAGGCGGCCCACUGGUCCGGUACUGACGCUGAGGUGCGAAAGCGUGGGGAGCAAACAGG